GACGAACGCUGGCGGCGUGCUUAACACAUGCAAGUCGAACGGUAAGGCCCUGCCUUUGUGUGGUGCUCGAGUGGCGAACGGGUGAGUAACACGUGAGUAACCUGCCCUUGACUCUGGGAUAACCUCAGGAAACUGGGGCUAAUACCGGAUAGGAGCUCCUGCUGCAUGUUCGGCGGUGGAAAGGUUCGGCGGUUGGGGAUGGACUCGCGGCUUAUCAGCUUGUUGGUGGGGUAGUGGCUUACCAAGGCUUUGACGGGUAGCCGGCCUGAGAGGGUGACCGGCCACAUUGGGACUGAGAUACGGCCCAGACUCCUACGGGAGGCAGCAGUGGGGAAUAUUGCACAAUGGGCGGAAGCCUGAUGCAGCAACGCCGCGUGAGGGAUGACGGCCUUCGGGUUGUAAACCGCUUUCGGCUGUGACGAAGCGUAAGUGACGGUAAUGGGUGAAGAAGCACCGGCUAACUACGUG
rnacentral:rRNA from 1 species